rnacentral:lncRNA from 1 species
UAAUGCCUUUUAAGAACUAUCUGAGCCUUGCAAUUAUUUAUUCGUCUAGGGUUUGAGCCAAGCAAUGGCGUGGAAUGGGGAGAGCAGGGCUGAACGUAAUCACUGCCGGACUGCAGAGCAUUUUUACCAGGGUGCAGUGUAUGAGGGCCUGAAGGUUUAAGAGAAAAGUAGCAGACUAUCAAUCGGCAUAAUGGAUGUUGAGCUAGGUGCACCAAGAACUUAUCUUGGACAAGAGCACCAGAAAAUUUGACAGAUACUAUUUCAACAUGAUAAUGGACAACUUGGUGAGUCUUCUGAAUUUCAUCUCUGCAUGGUAAGAUAGUACUAGUUUAUAACCUACUCCUCGAGUUGUGUGAUCAGUUAUGGUUUUAUGGUUAUACGGUUAUUAUCCACUGAGGCCUAGUAGAAGCCAAGAGCUCUUUCAUAAAUGAAUAAAGCAGAAAAAGGCAUGCUUUUGCUUAAAAGUACUGCACUCACCUGGGAUUUUCUUAUCUAAGAUUUCUGUAUGUUUCAUCUAGUCUGCUGACCUA